CUAUUCAGAGGGAGUGAGAGAAUGUCGAGUGGAGCAAAGUAACAGAGUUAGUGGAUGUGUGAGGAGCAUUGGUGCCAGCGGAAUGGGAAGAGAGGCUUCACAAAGACACAGUGUAGACCCCAAAUAACAAGGAUGUUAGAUGAGGAAGGAGACGUGAAACCAAACAAGGCAUCAAAAUCUGAAAGUCACUUGUUUCACCAGGACCUGAAUAACACCAGCCUUCAAAUAUACCAGCGCCUAUUGUGACCCCUAGUUACCUGUGGAGAAGAUGAUGUUUGACCUUCUUGAACCGCUGCAGUCCGUGUGGUGAAGGUGCUCCCAUAUUGCUGUUAGGGUGUUAGAAGGGGAGGAUUUGCAGCCGGGAAACUCAAACCAAACAUCACAUCA